ensembl:lncRNA
GCUCUAGAGAGUUGCAUUGUUCUUACAAAUAGUACAGACUCUAUUAUACCCUCUCAGAAUUAAAGAGUUAGGUUUCCAAGAACCUAACCAAUUGCUGGGCCACUUUGACAAUGAAGAAAAUGAGUCCCCUGGGUUAAAUAAAAGUGGAAAACGGACCAGAGGAGGGAGUGCUGCUGCUGCCGCUGCUCAGUCACUUCAGUCGCGUCCGACUCUGUGCGACCCCAUAGACGGCAGCCCACCAGGCUCCCCCGUCCCUGGGAUUCUCCAGGCAAGAGCACUGGAGUGGGUUGCCAUUUCCUUCUCCAAUGCAUGAAAGUGGAAAGUGAAAGUGAAGUCGCUCAGUCGUGUCCGACUCUUAGGGACCCCAUGGACUGCAGCCCACCAGGCUCCUUGGCCCAUGGGAUUUCCCAGGCAAGAGUACUGGAGUGGGGUGCCAUUGCCUUUUCCGAGGAGGGAGUACAGCUACCAUCAAAAUGAGUUGGAUUUGUGACUGACCUGUGGCUUCCCCAGGUGGCUCAGUGGUAAAAUCUGCCUACCAGUGCAGGAGUAGAGGAGACGCAGGUUUGAGCCCUGGGUCAGGAAGAUCCCCUGGAGGAGGAAACAGCAACCCACUCCAAUAUACUUGCCUGGAGAACCCCAUGGACAGAGCAGCCUGCCAGGCUACAGUCCAUGGCGUCACAGGAAGUCGGACACAACUGAGUGACUGAGUACGCACGCAUGUGACUUACGCUACUGACUUAGAGUUUGUACACUUAUUCACAGAAUAUUUAUUCAGUGCCUACCUCAUUCUCAGCACUGUGCCAGAAACUGAGGACACAACUGUGAGGAGGUCAGAAGAGGACUGUUCUCAGGAAAAAAAAAAAUCACUGUUUUUCAGCUACCAUUGUAAAAU